UUCUACACAAGCGUUGACAAUGGAGAUUCAAAUGAGCAGAUAUGUCAGUCCUGUCAAUCCUGCAGUAUUCCCUCAUUUAACUCUGGUCCUGAUGUCCAUAGGAUUAUUUUUUACAGCUUGGUUCUUUGUAUAUGAAGUAACUUCAAGUAAAUUCACUCGAGAUAUUUACAAAGAAUUGUUGGUCGCUUUGGUUGCAUCGCUCUUCUUAGGAUUUGGAAUACUGUUUCUCCUUCUGUGGGUUGGAAUAUAUGUGUAAUUGAUGACUACAUAUCUUAACAGUUGUGCUUAAGAAAUAAAUAAAAUAUAUAAAUAGGUCAGCUAAACUAUUAGAGUUUGCCUGUACAGAUGUACUUUUAUGUACAAAGAAUUGGUUCUUUCCAAAA